UGGGGAAUAUUGCACAAUGGGCGAAAGCCUGAUGCAGCAACGCCGCGUGAGGGAUGACGGCCUUCGGGUUGUAAACCUCUUUUAGUAGGGAAGAAGCGAAAGUGACGGUACCUGCAGAAAAAGCACCGGCUAACUACGUGCCAGCAGCCGCGGUAAUACGUAGGGUGCAAGCGUUGUCCGGAAUUAUUGGGCGUAAAGAGCUCGUAGGCGGUUUGUCGCGUCUGCUGUGAAAUCCCGAGGCGCAACCUCGGGUCUGCAGUGGGUACGGGCAGACUAGAGUGUGGUAGGGGAGAUUGGAAUUCCUGGUGUAGCGGUGGAAUGCGCAGAUAUCAGGAGGAACACCGAUGGCGAAGGCAGAUCUCUGGGCCAUUACUGACGCUGAGGAGCGAAAGCAUAGGGAGCGAACA
rnacentral:rRNA from 1 species